rnacentral:rRNA from 1 species
UACGGAGGGGGCUAGCGUUGUUCGGAAUUACUGGGCGUAAAGCGCGCGUAGGCGGCUUUGUAAGUUAGAGGUGAAAGCCCAGGGCUUAACCCUGGAAUUGCCUUUAAGACUGCAUCGCUAGAAUCGUGGAGAGGUGAGUGGAAUUCCGAGUGUAGAGGUGAAAUUCGUAGAUAUUCGGAAGAACACCAGCGGCGAAGGCGACUCACUGGACACGUAUUGACGCUGAGGUGCGAAAGCGUGGGGAGCAAACAGG